rnacentral:misc_RNA from 1 species
GAUGAAGAACGUAGCAAAAUGCGAUACUUGGUGUGAAUUGCAGAAUCCCGAGAACCAUCGAGUUUUUGAACGCAAGUUGCGCCCGAAGCCUUUUGGCCGAGGGCACGUCUGCCUGGGCGUCACGCAUCGCGUCGCCCCCCACAAUUCUCUGUAAAGGGAACUCGUGUUUUGGGGGCGGAUAUUGGUCUCCCGUGCUCAUGGCGUGGUUGGCCGAAAUAGGAGUCCCUUCGAUGGACGCACGAACUAGUGGUGGUCGUAAAAACCCUCGUCUUUUGUUUCGUGCUGUUAGUUGCAAGGGAAACUCUAAGAAAACCCCAACUUGUCGUCUUUUGACGGCGCUUCGACCGCGACCCCAGGUCAGGCGGGACUACCCGCUGAGUUUAAGCAUAUCAAUAAGCGGAGGA